AGAGCUUAGUGGUAGAGCAUCUGCUGUAUGUGAAGAAGGUCCCAGGUUAAAUCUCUGGCAUCUCUA